GCUAUCUUCGAUGUGAUAAGAAACACCUAAACUCAAAGUAAUUUGAAAGAAUAAACAACUUCAGUUAAAGAAGGUCCCCAAAGAAGUGUAAAGUACAAGUGUAAAACAUGUAGGUAAGAACUUUGAAGGGUGAAUUUUGAGUUCACACUGUUGUCUUUUAUGAUAAUGUCACUGUAUAAUGUGGCAGUAGGGAAUACCUUAGUGGGCUCUGCCAAGGUGUCCUCCUGAAAAAUCAAGCUGUGCCAUAGACCUAGAAUGAAGAAGGUUUAUCAGUGGGAAUGGAAGAGGACAUGAAAAAGGGGUAGAGGCAGAGAAAGGAACCAAAAGAGAGAGGAGAGAGGAAAAAAGAGAGGAAAAACUUGGUUAGGAACAUGUGGGGAAGAGAGGUAGAAGAUAAAGGGGAGGGAGGGAGCUAAGGAGGGAGGAAGAAAGAGAGGAGAGAAAAGGAAGGAGGAGAUAGGGGAAGGGAGAAAGAGAAGAUGGGGAAGGGAAAGUAAAUGAGAAGGAGAGGGAGGGAGAAGGAGAAGGGGAGAGUGAGAAAAAGGAGGAGAGGGAAAGGGAGGGAGAGAGAGAAGAUGGGAAGAAGGGGGGAAGAGAGGGACAGAAAGAAGAUGGGGAACUGGAAGAGAUAGAAAGAGUGAGAGACAGAGGGAGAGAAGAGAAAGAGAGGGGGAGGGAGGGGGAGAGGGGGUGAGGACAGAAAAGAGUAGCCAGCCAAGCAGUCCUUCUUAUAUGACAGGUUGGCUAGCACCUGACAGGUGGUUAGUUAGUGAGCACCUUGCAGACACACAGGAUGUACUUCUCCAAGAUGGUGCAAUGGAGCAGAAACAGCUCAUGUCCCUAAUAAGAAGCCACGAGGGACCUCAACAUUGCAACUAUUAGGUACCAUUCAGAGUCAAUGCGGACCUGAACACACAACUGGCCACGGAGGGAGGCCCUUCAUAAACAGAUCUUGCUGAGUUUAAUCAGAAUCUGCCUCAUGCACAUAGACACAGAUCCUCUUAGAGAUGAAAAGGUUGUCUGUGCAUACUUACAUCAGGGUGUGGCUACACAUUGAAAUUCACUGGUCUUGAGAUCUUUCUGGUCCUAUAGGGUACUGAUGUAUGUAUAUCCUGGUCUAUUAAUCACACAUGCAAAAAGGAAUUUUAGCCUGCAGAGUUGGCAUUUCUUUUUAAGUUUGUUCUUGUUGUUUUUGGUUUUUUAACCAUGAUAAAAAACAUAAUGGAAGAAAUCACUAAGGUAUUAACAUCAACAGUCAAGAUGAUAAUCUGGUAAGUAUGCAAUAACAGCAGUAGCAGAGGAAGAAGGCUGGUGGUCACUCAUAGAACAAAGCAGGCGCCCUCAGGUGCAAGCCCUCUUUGCACUCUCCACAGUCUAUGGGAAGGAGAUGGGAAGGGAAUUGCACAUAAGCCAGACGAUUUCCAGGAAAACAGGCUUAACAGUUUGUAAAUAUAUAAAGCCUUUUGAGGACACAAAAUAAAGUGUGGUCUUUAAAGAAAAUAGGCUUAGUUACAGGAUGGGCAGACAGUGUUUUGAACACGGUUGGAUCAAAUGGUGAAGACCAUAUUUCAAAGAUGCAACUUCUGCGUGUUUAUGUCUAAGCAGCUUCUGGUCUUUAAAACUGUCUUUCAUACAAAUGUGAGAGAUGACAAACUUUAUUGGGGGUCCUGAAGCUUUUAGCCACCCACUGAUCUAAGUCAUUCUUGAACACGAUUAUGAGUGUUUUCAUACAUAUGUGAUGCAUUGAGUAACUGAAUGGAUCCCAUCUGGGAGAUAUAUAAAGUGGACACUGAAGUGACUCAUCAGGCAGCUGCAGAGAAUACACAGAUGAGAAUGGCAGGGAACUCCACCAUGAAGAUGCUGAGCAUCAUCCACACCAUUUCCAGAAGAUGGAAAAAGCCACAUGACUGUGGAACAGUAAGUGUCCCUUUUGAAAUGUACAUGUUACAAAAAACAUAAAAAGAAAAUCCUUUUAAAAACUCAGUGAAUUUGAGACUGUUAUAAUCAGAAAUAAUUAGAAUACAAAAUGCAGCAGCAUUUUAAGGGAUUCACCAAUUGACGGUUACUUAUAUUUUAUUUUGUUUCUCAGCCACAAAAUUGAGGAAGAGUUUGAAGCUCACGGCUGCCAGAGUGAAACCUUGGGCUCUGGUAUUAGCUGCCUUGUACAUGGCUGAUUGGAACACAAAGGAAAAUAAUCUUGUAAGUUGUUGAUGAAAACAAGACUACUUGAAAUUUUAAUAUGAAAAACAUCCUUCAUUGUCUGGCCUAUCAAAUAUUUAAUGGUUCUAAACUUCAAGUUAUUCUGAGAACAAGAUAGGAUAAUAAUGUAUAAGUCACAAAAUUAAAAUUGUCAAGUGGGUGAUGUAUGAUGAAGUGUAUAAGCACAUGCACAGAAAAAAAUUAUACAACUUAAUUGACAUUAAUAAAUAAAUGAGGAGUUCCAGAAGAGUCUUUGUUGGCCUGUGACUAUGUUAGUCAACCUGAAAUCAAUCAAAAGGGCAACUGGACAUUCCAAUCUCUGGUGGGGGUUAGGGGCUUGUUAAUAGCAAGCAGCUAGCAGUAGACACAGGGAAGAACACACACAUACGU
rnacentral:lncRNA from 1 species